rnacentral:rRNA from 1 species
CGAACGCUGGCGGCGUGCCUAACACAUGCAAGUCGAGCGCGAACCUACACUUCGGUGUAGUAUUAGAGCGGCGAACGGGUGAGUAACACGUGAGUAACCUACCUGCAGGAUUGGGAUAACCACUCGAAAGGGUGGCUAAUACCGGAUAAGACCACAGUAUCUCUGGAUACAGAGGGAAAAGGUGGCCACUCCAUGGAAGCUACCGCCUGCGGAUGGGCUCGCGGCCCAUUAGCUAGUUGGUGAGGUAACAGCUCACCAAGGCUACGAUGGGUAGCUGGUCUGAGAGGAUGAUCAGCCACACUGGAACUGAGACACGGUCCAGACUCCUACGGGAGGCAGCAGUGGGGAAUAUUGCGCAAUGGGCGAAAGCCUGACGCAGCAACGCCGCGUGAGUGAUGAAGGCCUUCGGGUCGUAAAGCUCUGUUCUGGGGGAAGAGGGGUGCAGAUGUAAAUAAUGUCUGCAUCUGACGGUACCCCAGCAGGAAGCACCGGCUAACUCC